CCGCGCCGCGUCGCCUGCUCCGUCGCCUCUGCCACCGACUUGUUGGAGAGAGAGAAUAAGAGAGAUGGAGGGGAAGAGAUGGAGAAAGAGGAAGAGAAAAAACAUAGAAGAGGAUGACAUGCGGGCCCCGGCUGUCAUAGAUUUAAAAUGAGACGGUGGAUGGAGAAACCGUUGGAGUAAAAAACGAAUUUGAGAACUAAAUAAAAUAGGGAGUGGCUAAAUAGAUAUUUGGAGAGUCUACUUUGGGUUGUCUGUUGGAGAUGCUCUAACUAAGUAAAAGCGAA
rnacentral:lncRNA from 1 species